GAUAAACGCUGGCGGCGUGCCUAACACAUGUAAGUCGAGCGAGAAAGCUCCUUCGGGAGUUAGUAAAGCGGCGAACGGGUGAGCAACACGUGAGAAUCUACCCUUUAGUGAAGAAUACCCUCGAGAAAUCGAGGCUAAUACUGCAUACGUCCCUUCGGGGAGAAAGAUGGCCUCUUUGCUAUCGCUAAAGGAUGAGCUUGCGUACUAUUAGCUAGUUGGCGGGGUAAAGGCCCACCAAGGCAAUGAUGGUUAACCGGCCUGAGAGGGUGUACGGUCACACUGGAACUUAGACACGGUCCAGACUCCUACGGGAGGCAGCAGUGAGGAAUCUUGCGCAAUGGGCGAAAGCCUGACGCAGCGACGCCGCGUGGAGGAUGACGGUUUUCGGAUUGUAAACUCCUGUUAAGCGGGAAGAAAGCCUUGUUUCUAAUACAAGCAAGGUAUGACGGUACCGCUAGAGAAAGCACCGGCUAACUUCGUGCCAGCAGCCGCGGUAAUGUGCGCG
rnacentral:rRNA from 1 species